GCAGAUUCAUGUGUGUGGUUUGCAUUUUUUUGAGGUUUUGGUUUGUUCUUAUUUUUCUUAUUUCACAUUUAUGUUUUUAAAGUUAUUCCUUCUUUAUUUUUUUAAUCACAGCAAUCCUCCCCUCAUCCAUGGUUUCAUUUUCUAUGGUUCCAGUUACUCAUGGUCAACCAUGGUCAGAAAACAGGACAAACUGAGAGUAAAAGAUGCAGGAAUAAAACACAGAAAUCAAAAUAAAGGGUUUACUGCUGAAAAAUCCGCUUGAACAAGCCUGUUAAUGUGAUCUUCCUGAAUGAAGCCAGCUUACCCCUAGGCCUCCACUGUCCCUCAGGAAAGAGAACACGAAAACUGGAACUCUCUGCAGAAAGGAGGAUCCCAAAGAAGGGGCCAAGCUGUACAUUUAUCAAUCAGGAAAGCCACUCCACCCUCCAUGGCAGCCCCUACAAUUUGAAACAAGUAUUCUUCCUAACAUAACACAUUAAUUCAUGAGUUUAUCAGUUCAUUUCAUUUUUACUUUGAGAUUUUUGUGAAUAACCAUAGAAAAAUCUAUUUCACCUGGCAAUAAAUAGGAAAAGGCACAGCAUAAUGUUUAAAUACAGAGAAUAUUGUUACAUGUAAGAUGUUGAUUGAAUGUUCUAAAUACAAUUUGAAAACUGCGUGAGAGGAGGAAAACGUAUAUUCAGAAGGACUUAGGUGAAUCCAGAUGAAUAUUUUCAUGACAGGAUGUUGGCUAUUGAUAUGAAGAAAGUAGAGGAAUAGACUUGCUAAAAGUUAGAGGAGUCUAGUUUAUCUUCCAAGAAGCUUUGCAACCCUGUAAUACUGUAGAAAUCACAAAUUUGGCAAUAAUUUUAAGAUAAUUUAUGUUCAUUUUUUAUGGAAUGCCAUGUUUAUCUUUUUAUAUAUGACAUUUUCUGGUCAGUAGUAAUAUAUAUAUCCUUUAUUAAAAUUGGAAAAUAAAUACAAACAUUUUAUUUAUUUAUUGGUUAAAAAAUUAUUAUGCUCAUUCUUUUUUUUUUUAACCAGUAAGGAUCUGGAUAAAGAAAAACAUUUUAGAAAACCACUUGUAGAGUACCAUGAACCAGUCUCUCUUCUCCAUUUUAAAAAAUUUAUUGACUCACUUUUUUUCCAUAACUUUUUGAGAUAUUAUUUCAACCACUUUGCAUUUAGAGAAAAAGAGUCAGAGAGUGAUUAAGAAAUCUGCCCAAUGCUAUACUGAUAGAAGCUGGGAGAACUGGGAUUUGAGCUUACAUAGGCUAGUUCUAGCAUUUGUGAAGUUCUCGCCUAAUAAAAAUUAUCUGUAAUCAUAACCAGAGCAAGUCAUUUCUAACCUCCUGUCUAUAGACACGCGGAUACAUUUGUAAUGUUUUUGUUUGUUUGUUUUUAGCACGACAGAUCAAUUCCUGCUGGCAUUAUAGUUCUUUAACUAUCAUAGCUUCUCUGAUUUUUCAACACAUCUGUCAUCCGUAUUCUGCAGGCAUAGCCAACUCUGUCAGUGUCUCCUCAGGCAAUCAGAAUCAACAGACAGAAUGUAGGACAGAAAACUGGCUGCAAACAUGUUGGAAGGGCUGGAGGAGCGAAAGAGGGAAGAUCUGUUACCUAGAGAUAGUAACUUCCAGAAGUUACCACUAUACUAGUGCAGGAGAAGCAGAAAGGAAGAUGCUGCUACCCAGAGCCCACAGUCAUUGUGCCCCUGAUGCCGCUGGAACCCCACUGCAGCUGCUUUACAGGAAGCAGGGAAUUAGCGCUCUUGCUGAUGCUACAGGUAUCCAGGAUCCAAAAGUCAUCAGCCGCUGUCCCUGUUGCAGCCUAGGGAAACUGUCCCACUGAGGUUGUUGGGGUACCUGCUACUGCAUCUACUGUCUGAACCAUGUUGCCUGAGCAGAUGUCCAGGGCUCAGGCUUGCCUGCUGCUGUUACUGCUGCCACCAUGUUUAUCAGAGCUACUUCAAGAAGAGAAGAAAUCCUCCUCAUUUCCAGUUUUUUCCAGUGCCUCCCAUUGCUUCCCAGAAUGCCAAAUUCUCUUUGAGAGACAGCUGAAAGGAAGGUUUGGAAAAGACUCUGGUGUAAGCAGAUUCUGCUUCCCUGCAAUAGGGGGAAAGCAUAGGGUGGAACUGGAGCUGAGAGCUAAUCACGAAUGAGCAAAUCAGUCUUCAAGACAUUUACCUUUCCUUGAAACGUUUCCCUUCUUUUACCGUGUUUUCCAUGUCAUUAUUUUUCCACAAUUCUGCAUCAUAUUCUGUUAACUAUUAAUGCCCUGGAUAAGUUUAUUUGCUCUUUCUUAGGGUUAAUUUUUCUCCUUUUCUUCGAAGCUUUAGUUUGCAGGUUCAGCUUGUGUGGGAAUUUUCAUCUCCCUCCUCUUCAAGACUCCUUGGAUAUCAGUUUUUUGGUUGCCUUCACCAACUCUCCCCCCACCAUCUCUAGACCAGGGCAUGGUCUUAGUUGGUGGCUUGGACUCCUGUGGCUUGGAGUCUUUGGGGAUAUUAGAGAUCCAGUCACUGAGCUGGCAAAGGGAACACUGUCCUUGCUUCCAGCUUUAUGAAGAACGCUUUGCUCUGUCACCCCACGUGAGUCCAACUCUUGGCUGCCUACACUGCCUGAGGCUUCAGUUCUGGCAUCGUGCUGCAUGUGAUCUAUUAUCCUGCUUUUGAAUAUGCCUAUGACUUUUCUUUAUAUAUUUUUAAAAAUGUUAUUAUUGGUAUGUUUACAGUGAAGGGAAGAAUGUGAAGCAUGAACUCAAGAGUCACAGUAAUGAUAAAUUUUAAUGAUUGUAAUUGUCCUAUCUGUCAUAAUACAUUUAUUUUGUUGAUUUGUUUGGAUUUUCUAGGUAAAUAAUCAUGUUAUUCAAGGAUAAUGAAUGCAGCCACCAUGUAAUCAUCACUGACUCCAUGGCCAUGAGAAAAGAGACCUAAGAAAUGAUGCCCAUCCAGAAGAGUGAAGACUUCCUGAAAAUGUUCUUUUAACCUAAGAUGUAGGUUAAGAGGAGUGAAAAAAUGUUCUGUUUCUGACUGAUGAUGGAGCAACAAAGGAACUCCUAAAGAAGAAAUCAUCCAUUCAGUGAGAGCAAAUGAACACUCCAACAGACUGAAACAAAGCAUCUUUACAGGAGAUGUGAAUGCGAGAAAGCAAAGAGAACUACAGUCAGGGUCUCCGCUGGCAUGGCCCAAGCCCACCGUGGCAUGAUCCAGAGAGACGAGUCAGCAGAGCACUAUGGGCAGCUCCCAUACUCUUCGCAGAUCAACAAGCCAGCAUAUAACCCAGGGAGAUAGAUAAUAGUGAUGCUGUGCUCUGUAGAGGGUAGUGGCAACAGUGGGAUUUCUUCUGGAAUAAAUCUGUAGUGAGCCAGAUGUUUCUGCUGACUAUAUUACUUCUGACAGUGUAUAAUCCAAAAUUGUUUCCUUGGCCUUCCAAAAAGUUUUAUAAGCUCCCUAACGGCUGCAAUAAAUCCCUUUCUUCUUAAACUAGCUAGAGUGGAUUUUUGUUCUCUACAAAACAGAUCCUGCCACUAAGAACCCCACUAGUAUUUGUUGCCAUGAUUAGGGAAUAAGUUAAACCACUGUAA
rnacentral:lncRNA from 10 species